CUGAGAAGGUUUGAUGCAGCCAUCGUCUACUGCCUUGUCAAUGAAAGUUAACAGGGAGUUAUAGCACCCAUCCACAUUCAGCAAACCCACCUGCAUAUAUUUCAUUGGGAUGGUGAACUCAGACAUGCACAUUAGUUCAUGCAAUCAGUGACAGCUUACUAAAAUGGUAUAUUGGACCAUAUUAUAUGCAGGUAAUCAUGCUCUGAACUAUUUCAGAACCACAUACGAGUAGUAUUUAUGAGGAAUCCGUGCACUAAGCCAUGAACCUCAUGAGAAUGUGUGGCUACAGAGCGGUCGGAGCACGCGCUCCCAGACUAGUGAACUAUGCAGCCACAAUAUGAUAUGAAGGAUUUUGGGCAAAAGACUUACGGGCUUGUCAUGGAUGCCAAGUUGAGCCCAAGUUAUGACUUCCAAUAUGGGACCUGGUAGGGCAAUGAAGCAGUCGGAGUGGCGGGCCAUCUCGGCUUUCCUCUCAUGCAUAUCCGCCACAGCCUUGACCUCACCAACCAUUUCACCUGUCAAUUGAUCCCCCCGAUGGAACCCACCGAUUAAACAAUGAUUCCAGUUGCAAAUACAAGAGAAAACCCCCCCAAAUAAAAUUUAAUUUCUCUAUGUAUAGAUAUACCUCUUUGCUCAUCAGAGUUUUGGGUAUGAUUCUGUAGCGAGGGGGAAAAAUGGAAAAGAAAAAAUCAAGUUUGAUGGAUUUAAGUGGAUGAUUUCUAAGCAAGAAAUAGAAUGUUGAGCAAAAUACACUGAAGUUAAAAGGUACGUACCCAAAAACUGAGAGAGUGAGAUUGUGAGAGACAGAGAGUCAGAGAGAG